rnacentral:rRNA from 1 species
GGGUUGUGAGGUUAAGCGAACAAGCGUACACGGUGGAUGCCCUGGCAGUCAGAGGCGAUGAAGGACGUGCUAAUCUGCGAAAAGCGCCGGUAAGGUGAUAUGAACCGUUAUAACCGGCGAUGUCCGAAUGGGGAAACCCGGUGCACUUCGGUGCAUCAUCGUUAGCUGAAUACAUAGGCUAACGAGGCGAACCGGGGGAACUGAAACAUCUAAGUACCCCGAGGAAAAGAAAUCAACCGAGAUUCCCCCAGUAGCGGCGAGCGAACGGGGAACAGCCCAGAGCCUGAAUCAGCUUGUGUGUCAGUGGAACGGUCUGGAAAGGCCGGCGAUACAGGGUGACAGCCCCGUACACGAAGGCACACAGGCUGUGAGCUCGAUGAGUAGGGCGGGACACGUGAUAUCCUGUCUGAAGAUGGGGGGACCAUCCUCCAAGGCUAAAUACUCCUGACUGACCGAUAGUGAACCAGUACCGUGAGGGAAAGGCGAAAAGAACCCCGGCGAGGGGAGUGAAACAGAACCUGAAACCGUGUACGUACAAGCAGUGGGAGCCUUCGUAAGAGGGUGACUGCGUACCUUUUGUAUAAUGGGUCAGCGACUUAUAUUCUGUAGCAAGGUUAACCGUAUAGGGGAGCCGAAGGGAAACCGAGUCUUAACCGGGCGUUAAGUUGCAGGGUAUAGACCCGAAACCCGGUGAUCUAGCCAUGGGCAGGUUGAAGGUUGGGUAACACUAACUGGAGGACCGAACCGACUAAUGUUGAAAAAUUAGCGGAUGACCUGUGGCUGGGGGUGAAAGGCCAAUCAAACCGGGAGAUAGCUGGUUCUCCCCGAAAGCUAUUUAGGUAGCGCCUCGUGAACUCAUCUCCGGGGGUAGAGCACUGUUUCGGCUAGGGGGCCAUCCCGGCUUACCAACCCGAUGCAAACUGCGAAUACCGGAGAAUGUUAUCACGGGAGACACACGGCGGGUGCUAACGUCCGUCGUGAAGAGGGAAACAACCCAGACCGCCAGCUAAGGUCCCAAAGUCAUGGUUAAGUGGGAAACGAUGUGGGAAGGCCCAGACAGCCAGGAUGUUGGCUUAGAAGCAGCCAUCAUUUAAAGAAAGCGUAAUAGCUCACUGGUCGAGUCGGCCUGCGCGGAAGAUGUAACGGGGCUAAACCAUGCACCGAAGCUGCGGCAGCGACGCUUAUGUGUUGUUGGGUAGGGGAGCGUUCUGUAAGCCUGCGAAGGUGUGCUGUGAGGCAUGCUGGAGGUAUCAGAAGUGCGAAUGCUGACAUAAGUAACGAUAAAGCGGGUGAAAAGCCCGCUCGCCGGAAGACCAAGGGUUCCUGUCCAACGUUAAUCGGGGCAGGGUGAGUCGACCCCUAAGGCGAGGCCGAAAGGCGUAGUCGAUGGGAAACAGGUUAAUAUUCCUGUACUUGGUGUUACUGCGAAGGGGGGACGGAGAAGGCUAUGUCGGCCGGGCGACGGUUGUCCCGGUUUAAGCGUGUAGGCUGACUUUCCAGGCAAAUCCGGAAGGUUAAGGCUGAGGCGUGAUGACGAGGCACCACGGUGCUGAAGUGACAAAUGCCCUGCUUCCAGGAAAAGCCUCUAAGCAUCAGGUAACAUCAAAUCGUACCCCAAACCGACACAGGUGGUCAGGUAGAGAAUACCAAGGCGCUUGAGAGAACUCGGGUGAAGGAACUAGGCAAAAUGGUGCCGUAACUUCGGGAGAAGGCACGCUGACAUGUAGGUGAAGCCCCUGCGGGUGGAGCUGAAGUCAGUCGAAGAUACCAGCUGGCUGCAACUGUUUAUUAAAAACACAGCACUGUGCAAACACGAAAGUGGACGUAUACGGUGUGACGCCUGCCCGGUGCCGGAAGGUUAAUUGAUGGGGUUAUCGCAAGAGAAGCUCCUGAUCGAAGCCCCGGUAAACGGCGGCCGUAACUAUAACGGUCCUAAGGUAGCGAAAUUCCUUGUCGGGUAAGUUCCGACCUGCACGAAUGGCGUAAUGAUGGCCAGGCUGUCUCCACCCGAGACUCAGUGAAAUUGAACUCGCUGUGAAGAUGCAGUGUACCCGCGGCAAGACGGAAAGACCCCGUGAACCUUUACUACAGCUUGACACUGAACAUUGAGCCUUGAUGUGUAGGAUAGGUGGGAGGCUUUGAAGCGUGGACGCCAGUCUGCGUGGAGCCGACCUUGAAAUACCACCCUUUAAUGUUUGAUGUUCUAACCUGGCGCCGUGAUCCGGCGUGGGGACAGUGUCUGGUGGGUAGUUUGACUGGGGCGGUCUCCUCCCAAAGUGUAACGGAGGAGCACGAAGGUCAGCUAAUCCUGGUCGGACAUCAGGAGGUUAGUGCAAUGGCAUAAGCUGGCUUGACUGCGAGAGUGACGGCUCGAGCAGGUGCGAAAGCAGGUCAUAGUGAUCCGGUGGUUCUGUAUGGAAGGGCCAUCGCUCAACGGAUAAAAGGUACUCCGGGGAUAACAGGCUGAUACCGCCCAAGAGUUCAUAUCGACGGCGGUGUUUGGCACCUCGAUGUCGGCUCAUCACAUCCUGGGGCUGAAGUAGGUCCCAAGGGUAUGGCUGUUCGCCAUUUAAAGUGGUACGCGAGCUGGGUUUAGAACGUCGUGAGACAGUUCGGUCCCUAUCUGCCGUGGGCGCUGGAGAAUUGAGGGGGGCUGCUCCCAGUACGAGAGGACCGGAGUGGACGCAUCACUGGUGUUCGGGUUGUCAUGCCAAUGGCACUGCCCGGUAGCUAAAUGCGGAAGAGAUAAGUGCUGAAAGCAUCUAAGCACGAAACUUGCCCCGAGAUGAGUUCUCCCUGAGACU